UACGUAGGGCGCAAGCGUUAUCCGGAAUUAUUGGGCGUAAAGAGCUCGUAGGCGGUUUGUCGCGUCUGACGUGAAAGUCCGGGGCUCAACUCCGGAUCUGCGGUGGGUACGGGCAGACUAGAGUGAUGUAGGGGAGACUGGAAUUCCUGGUGUAGCGGUGAAAUGCGCAGAUAUCAGGAGGAACACCGAUGGCGAAGGCAGGUCUCUGGGCAUUAACUGACGCUGAGGAGCGAAAGCAUGGGGAGCGAACAGG
rnacentral:rRNA from 1 species